ensembl:lincRNA
CACAUGUUCAAAUUUCUUGCUAUAUUUUUACAUUUCACGUUCAUGUCAGAAGUGCACUCUUGGUCCCAUUUACCAACAAAAAUAACAGCCAAAGAUCGUGCGAAAUGAUUCCCCCAAUGUUUUGCAUGAGAGUGGGGUAAACUUUUUUGUACUCCGUGCAAUAUGGUGUUGGAACACAAGCAAAAAUUGUCAAUCGACUGUCACUUUUUUACAAGAGAAGGAUUACUGAACCAACAAACCAGAAACAAACAACCGUGGUGCAGGCUUCUGCGUCGAUGUCUAUUGCUAGUACCGAAAGAACUAAGAUUUGUGAAGAAUGGGUCUCCACCUGCACAACUGUCAACAUUCCACUCUCAAAGAGCAAUCAUCCUGUAAUGAGGACAUUUUUGAAGGAAAGGGGUGUCAAUAGAGGUGCCAUACCUGGUGUUCACCUGCUUCAAGAGGGCAGUCUGCGACGGAAAAGGAAUCGCUGAAGGCAAGACUGUUACUGUGAUAUUUGAUGAGACUACAGAUGUAGAAGGGAGAUGUGUGCUGAAUAUCCCUUUGGCACCACUGAAGAAGGAUGAGUCUGGGAGGGUCUUGGCCUACCUUGCAGACACUGUUUUGCAGUGGAGCUUUUGUGGUGGAUAACGUAGAGGAAGAGUCUGCAAAUGACCAUGAGUUUUUCAGGUUUAUUGCAGUAAACUAUUUGAAAGUUUUUGUCCACAUAUGCCAGCAGAAGAAAGUUAAUGACUGAAAAAACUUUUUAAUUUUUUAACAUAUGCUCUUCUAUGAGCUUGUUUAAAGUUCUAACUUUGUUUCUUACUGUGUUGAGAAAAAAAUGAAGAUUAAACAAAUAUAAUUUGUGUUUUUGUAGUUCAGGUGGGUAGCUGUGUCAGCAUGCAUAGGCAAAGAAACAAGUAAUACUGUAGGUUUAUUCCAUGCUAAGUUGCAUUUUUGUUUUCCUGAAACUUCUUUUGCAUAGUUAUUGCAUAAUCACUUCUAUGCGACUAAAACAUUUACAGAGGUACUGAUUACGGUGGGAAAUAAUGAGUUUUCUCAUUAUUUCCCACAAUUUUAACACAAAAUAACAAAAAAAAUGCUGCAAACGGCAUCUCAAUUUUAGAAAAAUGCCGCUGCAAAUUCAGCCAUUUUGGGCUGCAAUAAUCACAAAAGAAGUCUGCAAGAUCCUGGCGGGACUGAUUUAAAGGUGUUAUAGUAUGUACUGAAAUAGCAGAAACAGAGUAAUUUGUUCAUUGUGUCUAAGGUGCCUUUUGCUCAGCAGUGUUCAGGAAGUGUAAUUAGGAAGAAAUUAUAUUUUCAUUUAUUUUGCAAUUCAUGAGGAAAUAUAAUGGACACCAGAAAAAGGAUUGUAGUCACUUGUUUAAGAGUGAUGAGUAACUAAAACUCUGUAAACUUCUGUAAUCUGAAAAACAAAAACAAAACUAAAUUCAAUAAUUUUUGCUCAAAAACACAAGAAGCUAAACAAUUGGGCAGUGGAGUGUCUGACUCCACAGCUUCUAAAACCAAAAGUCUUAUCCUGCGUGAUUUUGUUUUCAUGAAACAAAAUGGAGUGGGUAUGCAGAUGGGACUUUCCGUGGUUUGCAGAAAACCUAUCCCACUUAUUGUUCUUAUUCAUAAAACUCGCCAUAAAAGGAUUAAAGAAAAUAUGACCACCAGAGUUAGACUACAGCCUUUUAAGGACAAUCAUAUGGAGAAAGACAGCUUAUCUGUCAGUUUCAUUCUGGACAUCCUCAAUGACUGAGUCAUGAAACUGAGAGUGCCGAAGGAACACUGU